GACGAACGCCGGCGGCGUGCUUAACACAUGCAAGUCGAACGGAAAGGCCCAGCUUGCUGGGUACUCGAGUGGCGAACGGGUGAGUAACACGUGGGUGAUCUGCCCCUGACUUUGGGAUAAGCCUGGGAAACUGGGUCUAAUACCGGAUAUGACCUUACAUCGCAUGGUGUUUGGUGGAAAGCUUUUGCGGUUGGGGAUGGGCCCGCGGCCUAUCAGCUUGUUGGUGGGGUAAUGGCCUACCAAGGCGACGACGGGUAGCCGACCUGAGAGGGUGAUCGGCCACACUGGGACUGAGACACGGCCCAGACUCCUACGGGAGGCAGCAGUGGGGAAUAUUGCACAAUGGGCGCAAGCCUGAUGCAGCGACGCCGCGUGAGGGAUGACGGCCUUCGGGUUGUAAACCUCUUUCACCAGGGGCGAAGCGUGAGUGACGGUACCUGGAGAAGAAGCACCGGCCAACUACGUG
rnacentral:rRNA from 1 species